rnacentral:tRNA from 2 species
GCGCCCGUAGCUCAGUUGGAUAGAGCGUCUGACUACGGAUCAGAAGGUCAGGAGUUCGAAUCUUCUCGGGCGCACCA